AUGAUCUUCUCUCUAGAAAGACUGAGUUCUACAAAACUCCUGCCUUCUCUCUAAACUCCAAGCUCGCUGACUCGUUGCAUGUUCGUUUAGGAAGUGCCCAAGGGUCCGCAACGUCAAGAGCUUCGACUUGAACCGAUUGGGUUCUCGUUAUUUCGCCGGUAGUUUCCCCCUUUCCUUAGGCUUCUAGGGUUUUGAGCAUACAACAGUUCUGUUGAUACAUGUGUCUUUCCCUUAUGUCCUUCCAAUCUCUGUUCAACAGUAACUCUAAGAACUAUUCUUGAUCACAGUUCUGUGGUCUGUAGGGUACAGUCUAAGUUCGGUGUGACUCGGGAUAUUGUAGAAUCAAGCUUUGGUACAGAGCUGUGAAAUUUCCAGGUAAGGAGAGUUAUUUAGUAUGUCUAAUUGUGUGUGUGAUGAAUGAUAUGUUUCUUACUAUUCCUUUCUAGUCAUACGGGUAUUGAUGAUUUGAGUACGAAAUAAUUGUUAAAUUGAUGUUGAAUUGUUUUGGGUAAUUGAUUAUAUUAUGAUAUACUAGAUUCUGUAAUAUUAUAUACAUAUUGGCAUGUGUUUUUGUGUUUACAGAAUAUACAAAUUGGGGUGAGAAAUAGGUAAUUUGAUGUUCGGAGUGUUAUAUGGUAUGAGAAGAUGAUAGUUCUCCUCUAUUUUCUAUUUGAAUAGUAGUAAAAUACAAGGAUACAUAUGUCUCCUGUUUCGUAACUAUUUAUGGGAUUAGUGUAAUAUAUAUAUAUAUAUAUAUAUAUAUAUAUAUAUAUAUAUAUAUAUAUAUAUAUAUAUAUAUAUAUAUUAUUAAAUGGAGUUGAAAUGUUAAAAAUUUUGGUUAAUAGAAAAUAUGUGUAAGGAUCACUUUUAAUAUUAAAAACUUGAUAUUGAAAUAAGAAUGGGGUACUGGUUGUUCAGAAUAUGUUUGAUAACCCUUAGAAUUUAAGUUACUUUUUAUAAAAUUAACAGUCUAUGUCUUAUAAAUUGCUGGAUGAACUUAGUAUAUUAUAUUAUAAUAUUUUAUCAAAUGAUUAUUUGCUGUUAUGAUUCUCGUACUUUAUAUAAUAAUAUAUAACUUUUAUAUGAAUAUAUAACAGUAUGAAAACUUGACAGGUUAAAUUAUAUAUAAUAUUAUAUUAUAUUAUAAGUAUUAAAACUAUUAAGUUUUACGUUAGAUUAAAUUUUUGGCUAACAUAUACGUUGUUUCAUUUCUCAAUAUAUACAUAUAAGUUAAGAAUUGGUAUAAAUAUUUUUCAUAAUUUAAUAUGAAGAAUUAUCAUGUAUAGAGAAUAAAUAAUAAAAGUUGAAUAUUUAUAAGUAUUGCGGUUUGUGGUUUAAAGUCGUAAUAAUUUUAUAUGUUUUGGGAAAUUUACUUUAAGUCAUAAUAUUUUAUAUAGUGUAGUAAAACUUUGUGUGACAAGGUAAUGUUUAUUAUUGAGAUUUAGUGUGGAAUGUAUUGAAAUUGUGCUAUGAGCCUUGUGAUUUAUGAGCAGCGCAUGUUAUUGAGUAAUGCGUAUCUUAUUGUGAGAGAUGUUAUAAAUUUAGUGAUUUGUGAUUGGUUGGUUAAGGUAUAUGGAUUGAUUAACGUUGUUUGCUCUACCGAAUGUCAUGUAUGUAUGUCUAUCUAGGUGACUCGUGUGACUUGAAAUAACAUGAUUGUGAAUUGAUGAACUUGAGUGUGAAUUGAACAUCUCAGGGUGAGAUGAGUGGAUGUGAUUGUAGAGAUUUUGUUGUUGUCUAUAUAAUGUUGGGAGCUUUGAAAUGGUAUGUCUAUCCCUACACUCAAAGCAUUGUUCAUGCUCAAAUAGAGAAGAACAAUGUGAGUGGUGAGAGUAGAGGGAAGUCCUCGUCUAUAGUCUUGGAGUUUAGACAUAGACAGAUUGGGGGAUUUACCUUGCAUAGUGUUAGGGAUGGGCCAGCUGAACUAUGCAAGUGCAAAGACAAUAGCUAGACAGUUAUACCAAAUCCGGAUGAGUCACGUUGAGUAUUUGAUGCAUGGUGUGGUUGGUAUGCCUUGCUUGUUCUUUUUAUAUUUAAUUAAGCAUGAGGACAUUGAUUGACUAUAUUUUAUGUAGGUUGUUUGUUUACCUAGCUCACCCUUACUUUUGUGUUGUAUGUUGCUUGGGUAUGCUUUCUCUUGCGAUGAUCAUCCACUUGGAUGGGAGCAGAUGUCGGUUAGGAGGUUCCAUUGGAGCAAGUGCUAGAGGACGCUGACGCUGCAGCCUAGUUCUCCCUAGGAUUUUUUUCUUUUACCUGAUGUCAUUUUGGAAUGCUCUUAUCUUUGUACCACUUUGUUGUACUCUUUAUGUCUAAGUUUUAGAUUUAGACUUCUCUUACUUGAAGUUCAAACCCUCGAAUUAUAUUUGGAUGAGUGUAAUCUUAUAUUUAAUUAUCAUUCUACUUCCAAC
rnacentral:lncRNA from 1 species